ACAAGAACACAAAUGAACUUAAAACAAAAAUAUAAAUGGUGACCAGCUCGGUGGCGUACUGCAGCAUGCAGGAGCAGCAACCAUAGUCAGCUCGUCGAGGCCGCCAAUACGCAGGAGAGCAUGGUGAGGGCAACAAUAGAGGGGAAGCACCAUGGGGGUUGAGCCACAACUGUGGUUGAUGGCAAGCCGACAUGACACGACGAGCAGCUUGAGGACGAGUGGGUGGUGCACAACAUGUCACUUAAGAUGCGCCUGUUGGACUGAUUUCCUUCUUCCAUCUGGACGGAUCAAUUGCAGAACUUGCUAUUAGAAACAGUAAAGAUAAAAAAUAGUCGUGUGCUCAAACUUUGAAGUAAGAUAUGAUUUCAUGUCCUUAUCCAUUAAUAAAAUCAUACUAUGUACAUUUGUAGAAUACUUGCUCUCAGUACUAGUCAUCCUACUUAGUUAUCAAAAACAGUUGUGAAUGUUGCAUCCAUUUUUCUCAAGAAAAUGUAACAUAUAAGUUUUAUACAGACAGAAAUAUGCACCCUCAAGAAAAUGUAACAUAUAAGUUUUAUACAAACAGAAAUAUGCACCAAAAGAUAUACCCAAAAUUCUAGUUUUACAACAUUGGAAGAAACAAAUAAUUUGAUGCCAACAUAAGUGAGCACUAAAAGAUGCAAAGAAGAGCCUUUUUUGAGAAUUUGACUUUGGUACAUGUUUUGCUCUACAAAUUGAUAAACCAAGAGACAGUACAGAUGAUCAUUUCUCAUGCUUAAUCACAAGCACACGUUUGUUCUAUGGGAAGCUGGAAACAUAAAAUGGAAAUUGGACUUACGAUGAGGAAGUAGAUGUACUAAAAAGCAUAUGAAAGAUGAACUGAAAAAGUUGAAGCUCCAUAUCCUCAUGACGAACUGGACCAUACUGGAGUUGUGAAUGGUGGUGAAGCUUCACAUCCUUCAUCGUCAACGAGCUCCUGCCAUGAGCGAAAAUCACAAACUUCAAACAAUUUAUAAAGAAUACAGUUCUUGAAAUUGGGUCGAGCUUAAACUGUUCAGAUUUUUGAACUCCUGCAGCAGCUAUACUUGAACUUGCGCGACACAUUUUUGAAAGCAUCUGAUGUUCAGAAUAUGUUAUAUGAAAAGAGGAAGGGGUAACACACUAAGAGACAUAGGCAAAAGAGAGAAAAUCAUGAUGUAUUAGCUAGGUGGUUGAACUGGCCACACCGCUGCACCAUGUCGCCCAGCUCCUUCUCAAUGGUCUGCUUCUUGUGAUCGCCGACGAGCACCCUGGGCUUCACCAUGAACCUGGUUAAAAGAUAUAUGGGACUGGAACCUGUAGAUUUAAAUGAACUCUCACUAGAAGUAAUUUUUGUACUUCCCAUGUAGUACUACUUGUACUUGUUGUAAAAUACAUGGACCAUGUAAUAAUUUUGAAGUUAAUUAUAUGAUCAUCUCAUGUGGCUCAAGUUGGACUGGAACUCACUCGAUAACUAAACAACUAGGGUGAGGGGUGGGAUCCAGGGUGUUGCUGGCAAUGAAUGGCCAGGGGAGGUGGCAUUGAACGGCCUAGAGUGGUGGCUGUGAACGGCCAGGGUGCUCCGGCAGCAGAGCCCCACCGGGAGAUGGCGAUGCAAUUAAACUGCUGUGCAAUCAAAAUUACAGUUGUAAGCUAGCAAGGAUAUUGUAGUUUUUUGUUUUGCACUAUGGUCAUGGAGUCAAAUCAGAUCAAACAUGCGAGGCAUAUAAAAUUUGUUGUUUGAUGUUACCAUGAGCAGUGGUUACAUAGUAAAUUCAAAGAACAACAAAACAUGGCAGCAACAUCGUAGAAUUCAUUUGGAAGCAACCGCUAUAUAUACGUGAUUCCAAAAAUGUUCCCCAACCUGUACUGAGCAGCUUCAGAGCCUGUACUGACAAUGAACUGAUUUGUUAUGUUUUAGCACAUAGAUUGUACUGUUCAUUACGGACUAUUGAUAUAAAUACAUAUUGAACUUCUACACUAAAAGAAAAAUCACUAAUAAAUAACACUUCUCUUGAGCAAUCAAAUAAGUUUCACUAAAAGAAAAUUCACUAAGAAAAUGGCUAUAUCUCUGAUGCAAACUUAAUUUGAGCAGAAAUGUUCAUCUUUUGACACAUCGAAACCACUAGCUACAGUUUUUUGCUUCCAAUCAUUGAACUGAGAAUAAUUAUGAGAAUUUUUUGCUCCCAACCUCCUGCAUAUAUAUUCUCGAACUGAUUUUUUGUCACUUGAACAGAGCAAAGAAAGCAGUAAUUAAGGAAUUCUUAGCCAGACUAGGCACCCCACAAAUCCCACACAACAAAGCAUGUUAUAUGUAUUUCUGCUGCCUAAAUGUGUAUAUAAUUUCAAAUUUUCCAAGCACAUACCUUCUGUUCUUGUUUGUUGAUGGGCAUGCCGCCCCUACUUCUA
rnacentral:lncRNA from 1 species